UCCAUUACCCAGAUUCUCUAAAACCCUUCAAGUACCCCAGCCUAGGGCCUUCUCUCUCGCCAUUCACAUUCUGGGUGUCUGCUCAAAAUGAGUGCUUUUGCCGGUAGACUCAGCAAGUACUUGAGAAUCUCUGCUCCUACCACGCACGGAUCCUCAUUUGCGGUGGGUGCUCAAAGAAGCUCGAAGUUGUGGCUUUCUACCGAGUCAUCUGACCAAAAUGAGGGUGGGAAGAAGAAUGAUGUGGUUGACGAGUACCACGACGACUUACUCGGUGACAAAACAGAAGCUGCACUGCAGCCUCAGGGAGUGAAUCCCGGUAAAGGUUGGCUUUAUCGUGGUGUGCAUAAGGCUAUAAUUUGUGGAAAAGUUGGGCAAGCUCCUGUGCAGAAGAUAUUGAGGAAUGGCCGGAACAUAACCAUCUUUACAGUUGGGACGGGAGGCAUGUUUGAUCAAAGAACAAGUCUGGAAAAGGGCUUGCCAAGGCCUGCGCAAUGGCACCGAAUUGCGGUGCACAAUGAUGCUCUCGGAACUUAUGCUGUUCAGAAGAUUGUUAAGAACUCGCCAGUGUAUGUUGAGGGCGACAUUGAAACAAGAGUUUACAAUGACAGCAUCAAUGGUGAAGUCAAAUACAUUGCGGAGAUAUGUGUGCGUCAAGAUGGUAGGAUUCGCCUCAUAAAGACUGGAGAAAGUGUCAGCAAUAUUUCCUUGGACGAUUUAAGAGAGGGAUUGUUUUAGCUUAGAGCCAGAUGGAGCAAAAGUGAAAUCUUGGUCAUGCCUCUUUAUUUCUUUUCAACUGCAGUUUGGAUCUACUCACUGGUAUGUACACACUACACAACACCAUGCAUACAAUGUUAGUUCCGGUUUCACAUAUUCAAGAUUGACUAUGCAACAAAACUCAGUGAAAAAACCCAAGUUAGUUAUCUUUAGCCUGCAUAAUUAUGGCGUGUUUUAGUGAGUUAUUCUUACAUAUUUAUUUUCUUUACCUUAUAUAAUUAUAAUUUGAUGUAGAAACCAGUACAUGAAAAAGAUAUGUGUGUGUAUAUAUUUUAAUAUUAAUGAAGAUUCAACUACACAAGUUGGUGUGUUAUUAUAUCACCUUUUGUUUCCAAUAAGAGGACUUUGCAAA